CAGCCGCCACGGUAAUACGUAGGUGGCAAGCGUUGUCCGGAAUUAUUGGGCGUAAAGGGCUCGCAGGCGGUUUCUUAAGUCUGAUGUGAAAGCCCCCGGCUCAACCGGGGAGGGUCAUUGGAAACUGGGAAACUUGAGUGCAGAAGAGGAGAGUGGAAUUCCGCGUGUAGCGGUGAAAUGCGUAGAGAUGUGGAGGAACACCAGUGGCGAAGGCGACUCUCUGGUCUGUAACUGACGCUGAGGAGCGAAAGCGUGGGGAGCGAACAGGAUUAGAUACCCCUGUAGUCCCUGUCUCUUAUAC
rnacentral:rRNA from 1 species